AUAAAGACUCGUUCUGUACAGAAUCAGAACCUGUAUGACAGCUCACGGCUCGAUACAGGAAUUAGACCUUGAUCCCUGAACUGAUCCUUCUGCUACAUUGUUAUUUGCUGCUCUUUCAAGAACCCUCGCAGCAUCGUUAGUAUUAACGUGACAGAACGCUGCUAAUGGUCGCCGGCAUCCAUUGUGAUCAGGAAGGAAAUGGCUGUUUCUCGGUGAUUCACGCUGGACUUUCUCUAAACCUCCUGUCACCCACACUGUGGCCAUCUCUGAGCUGGCACAUAUCCUCUACUUGGACUCUGAGUUUAUGAGUGAAAAUCCAUACCUCCCAAGUGUCCCUAUUUAAGAGGAUCAGUCCCUAUUUUCCACCCAAAUUCCUCUAUCCCUCUUUUCUAUCCUAAUUACCCUCUUUUCUAGGAGCUCCAUAGCAAUAAUAUUCCCAGGUAUGUGUCUGAGUGUAUAACAGAGCUCCACAGCAAUAAUACUCCCAGUAAUGUGUCUGAGUGUAUAACAGAGCUCCACAGCAAUAAUACUCCCGGUAAUGUGUCUGAGCGUAUAACAGAGCUCCACAGCAAU